AUAAGGUGUAAAUUUUUAACACAGAGGGUACUUAACCACUGGAACAACUUACUAGAGGUUCUGGUGGAUUCUCCAUCACCUACAAUUUUUAAAUCAAAACUGGAUUUAAAAAAAAAAAAGGGUCUAGUUGAAAGAGGAAUUUUUGAGGGGGAAGUUCUAUGGUCUGUGUUAUACAGGAGAUACAGUGAUCACAAUGGUCCCUUCUGGCCUUGGAAUCUAUAAAACUGACUUCAAUAUCUUGUAACAGGGCUUCUUCUCGGCCUCGGUGGGUCCCGCACUUCCUUCUAGUGGUGGGUCAGGAUAGCAUCUCAUCUCCCAGAAUUCCCCCCCGCUUAUAGUGGAUGGGGAAAUUCUGUCUCCAAGUGGCCCUCCCAUUUCUGGGUCUGCUAGGCACUUACUGCUUCACUGGGGCUUCUGGCCUCCUCGGUGGCCAUCCAGUGAGAGAAAAAGGGGCGUGGGGGGCCCAGUCCUGCCCUCUACUUUGGGCCCCAAUGCAGGGACCCUCCAAGUAGCAGCCUCAUGCUGCCAGUUCCCAGGAAAGCUGCUAGCUUCCCUGGGUUACUUCCUCACGCCCCUUGGCUUAUUGUCCCCACUUUGCUUGGGCAGGAUUCCUCCUGCUGGGGAGAACCCCAUGUCUCUGGUGGCCCUUCUGGGCGUGGCAGCACCACACCAAAUGCAUGGCUCAGUCUCUCCCCUUCUGGCAGGGUCCUUUUCUUCAGAUCUUUGGACCUAGAAGGGUCCUUAGCUCCUGUUUAGGGUAGGGUUUCUCCCCAAUCUCUAUACCUGCGGGCUUCUCCCCUGGCCCUUGUCAGCUUCCACACCACUCGGCUCUCAACACCUACCACCCACACUGAUUGGCUGGAGGGUAAGGCUUUUAACCCAUUCUGGCAGGUUCUUAAUUGGUUCCAGGUGUCCUAAUUAACCUGGAGUAACCCCUGCUCAGUUACCAGGGGAAGAGGGACCUGCUUAUCCUGAGGCUAAUAUACCUUCCUUCCUGCACUCUUCUGUAGCCGUCUGGCCUGACCCUGUCACAAUCUGAAAAAGUGCAAGCUGAAACAAACUGACUUGGUUUUUGUAACCCUAUUUUGUCUAUGUUUGAUGGGGUGUACCAGCCUUUGGGGUCCCCUACUGGACUCCUCCCCAUGAAACAGUUCUCUGUGAGAAAGAGAGCAGCCAUGUUGGGAACCAGUGAGAUCUGUCUCUCCAGCAACCAGAAGGGCUGGAGACCAGCAACAGUCAAUCAAGGCCCAGAAGGCCAAAAUAAAAGGAUCUGCCUGCUGUCAGUGUCAGCAAGGCAGUUCCUGGCUGGAGCCAGAGGAGCAAGGAAGGACAUUGCCAAGGUCACAGCCAGAGGAACCAGUGCAGAUCCAGUGCCCAUUACUGGCCACAAUUGGGGGCAGGAGUUCAAGAUUCAAUUUCAGAGAGGGAAUUUCGCCCAGAAGGGCGAGAAACUAUUUUGGUUAUAAUUGGCCCUAAAGGACAAGGAAUUGCUUCUAUUUUGAGUCUGUUAUACCCUAGAAGGCUUUUGAACUGUGACACCUGGCUGGAGGGCUGAGCCACAGAAGACUCACAGAGGCUGACAGACAGCAUGCAGGGGGUGCUGGGAGCUGCAGACAGCAGCAACACCAGGCUAGCAUGUAAAGUGGCGCUCAUAGAGGUGACUGCAACCCAUCACAGUACAGUUGUCUACAAUCCACUCCAAAGCUGAUUUUGGCAUCUCUAUUGCAACAUUGUACUAUUGGGCAAUGUUACUAGGCAGCUUCACAUACCACAGAAGGGUAAUCUGCCACCACUAUAUGAUGGCAUCUUUGUAAUCCGAGUGCCCUGGGACAAACAGCACACAUCCAAUAAGAUAUCACACUUUCGACAGACGUACCUUUUUAAAACAGCAAAGCUUUCAGAACUCCCUGUCCCUCACUGAAACUGUUUGUGGAAACAUUGUGUUCAUUGGCUAAAUAUGGGUCCCCUUAAAAGUAUAAAAGUGUGAUAAAGGAUAUCUCUUAGCAUUGCUUAACUCUGAUAGAAUUAAAGCUCCGUCUAAUCAUGUGCAAGAGAAGUGAAGCAAGAUCAGCUGUCAGCAUGACUGGACAAAGCACAAUUGGAAGAGCAAAAAUUGCAAGAAACACAGGACCUUCUUGGUAACGUAGUCAUUUUCUGGUAUGAUGAGAGUGUAAUAUGGCACUGAGGAUGUGGGUAAACUCACCAUCUUGGAGUGUCCAUAAGUUACGAGUGAUCUAUUAUACCUAUUAUAUUUGUAUCGCUCCACUAAUGCAAAGCUGCCCAAAAGCUGACUUACUAGCCACAAGAGGGUCCCCCAGCACAUGGGGGACCUCAGAUGGUGUAGAGCACUGCAGGGUCCACGCCAAUCCUCCACCCACCCCACAACUGGAGCAGGGGGUAUGGCUUGGGAUGAGGGUGUGCCCCAGGUACUUGUGUGCCCCAGCUGCCAUCUGGAGCAAGGGAUAGCUGGAAAACUUAAAGAUACCUUCAGGCUACUCUAAACAUACGUUAGGAGACUCAUGAAGUGCUCAGCCAAGAUAAUAUGGAGGGGAACGCAAAGGGCUGCUAAGCACUCUUUCUUCAGAGUUGCAUCAAGCACACUUUAGCCACAGUUGAGGAUCUGGGCCCUUAUCAGCCUACUAGCAUAGUCUGACAACAACAUAAUUCCAGAAUUUUCUGCUUUUGGAGAUUGCCAGACACAAUGAUGCACCCUUAGUUUGGAAUUAAUGCAGGUACCUACAAUGCAUACAUUACCUAAUAGCUGCUAAACCCUGACUUCACAAUGGACAGCUACACUUAGACUUCUUUGGACUGUAAACUCUGCUCCAAUUACAUGUUUUACUUUCACAUUACAGAAUCAUAGAAACAGAGGGCUGGAAGGGACAUCAAGAAGUCAUCAAGUCCAACCCCCUGCUCUGAUGCAAGACCAAGUAAAUCUGGACCACCCCAGACAGGAAUCAUGGGAAUCCCUUUUUCUGGAAAAGGAAUUGCAGAGGGAUGGUGUAAGAAAGGAAGCUCUCUCAUACUUAGGCUUGGAAGGAUUAGAUUUUUAUCAAUAAAUGUCCUUAAAUGUCAUUUCAGCAAAUGCACAAAUUGAUGAAAAAUAUUUCCAUAAAUUAUAGAAAUUUACAGAUAAGCAAAGAAAAAUGCUGCUUGAGAAUUUAUUAGAGUCCCACCUUAAUGUGUACACAACACGUUGUAAUGAAUGUUGUAUAAAGCAUACGUUUAUACUCUGCUAAAACAGCCAGCUUAUAAAGCUUUACCUUUUUGCAUCUCAAUGUCUGUCAUUAAAUAAUUGUCUGAGCUACUUCUAACUUCCUACAACUGUGAAAAUUUAGAUACUGAUAGAAAAAAAGCUUGAAAUGAACAAUAAUAUCAAUAAAAAUGGUAAAAAGACAAAA